rnacentral:tRNA from 1 species
GCGGCUGUAGCUCAGUUGGCUAGAGCGUCUGCUUGCCAUGCAGAAGGUCGAGAGUUCGAGUCUCUUCAUCCGCU